UCGGGAAUUUUGGGCAAUGGGCGAAAGCCUGACCCAGCAACGCCGCGUGAAGGAUGAAGUAUUUCGGUAUGUAAACUUCGAAAGAAUAGGAAGAAUAAAUGACGGUACUAUUUGUAAGGUCCGGCUAACUACGUGCCAGCAGCCGCGGUAAUACGUAGGGACCAAGCGUUGUUCGGAUUUACUGGGCGUAAAGGGCGCGUAGGCGGCAAUUCAAGUCAUCUGUGAAAUCUCCGGGCUUAACUCGGAACGGUCAGAUGAUACUGCUUUGCUAGAGUGCAGAAGGGGCAAUCGGAAUUCUUGGUGUAGCGGUGAAAUGCGUAGAUAUCAAGAGGAACACCUGAGGUGAAGACGGGUUGCUGGGCUGACACUGACGCUGAGGCGCGAAAGCUAGGGUAGCAAACGGGAUUAGAUACCCCCGUAGUCCCUGAGCGGGCUGGCAAGGCGCAU
rnacentral:rRNA from 1 species